UGCAUUCACUACUGUAAGUCGCUCUGGAUAAGAGUGUCUGCUAAGUGACGUAAA
rfam:Salmo salar isolate Sally breed double haploid chromosome ssa16, whole genome shotgun sequence.